GGCAAAGAUAAAAACGCAACGCAUGUCAUUAACCAUGUCAGAGCCGGUUGGUAGCCCGGCCGUCUUAUAUUUUUAUAAGGUAAGUAACCUGCCCCUCCGGGUUGUCCAUUCUUUUGCCAUU
rnacentral:ncRNA from 1 species